AUUGAACGCUGGCGGCAGGCCUAACACAUGCAAGUCGAACGGUAACAGGAAGACGCUUGCUUCUUUGCUGACGAGUGGCGGACGGGUGAGUAAUGUCUGGGAAACUGCCUGAUGGAGGGGGAUAACUACUGGAAACGGUAGCUAAUACCGCAUAACGUCGCAAGACCAAAGAGGGGGACCUUCGGGCUUCUUGCCAUCGGAUGUGCCCAGAUGGGAUUAGCUAGUAGGUGGGGUAACGGCUCACCUAGGCGACGAUCCCUAGCUGGUCUGAGAGGAUGACCAGCCACACUGGAACUGAGACACGGUCCAGACUCCUACGGGAGGCAGCAGUGGGGAAUAUUGCACAAUGGGCGCAAGCCUGAUGCAGCCAUGCCACGUGUAUGAAGAAGGCCUUCGGGUUGUAAAGUACUUUCAGCGGGGAGGAAGGGAGUAAAGUUAAUACCUUUGCUCAUUGACGUUACCCGCAGAAGAAGCACCGGCUAACUCCGUG
rnacentral:rRNA from 1 species